rnacentral:rRNA from 1 species
UGGGGAAUAUUGGACAAUGGGGGAAACCCUGAUCCAGCGACGCCGCGUGGGUGAAGAAGGUCUUAGGAUUGUAAAACCCUUUUGUUAGAGACGAUGAUGACGGUAUCUAACGAAUAAGCCCCGGCUAACUUCGUGCCAGCAGCCGCGGUAAUACGAAGGGGGCUAGCGUUGUUCGGAAUGACUGGGCGUAAAGGGCGCGUAGGCGGUUUUGUAAGUUAGGUGUGAAAGUCGAGGGCUCAACCUUCGGACGGCACUUAAUACUGCAAAGCUAGAGUACGAGAGAGGAAAACGGAAUUGCGCAUGUAGAGGUGAAAUUCGUAGAUAUGCGCAAGAACACCAAAGGCGAAGGCAGUUUUCUGGCUCGUAACUGACGCUGAGGCGCGAGAGCGUGGGGAGCAAACAGG